rnacentral:ncRNA from 2 species
CUAUCCGUGCAGGGGUGCCGAAAGGCUGAGAUCAGACCCUCCGAACCUGACCUGGUUAAUGCCAGCGUAGGGAAAACGGAUCGUCGUCGA